AGUGAACGCUGGCGGUAGGCCUAACACAUGCAAGUCGAACGGCAGCACAGGAGAGCUUGCUCUCUGGGUGGCGAGUGGCGGACGGGUGAGGAAUACAUCGGAAUCUACUCUGUCGUGGGGGAUAACGUAGGGAAACUUACGCUAAUACCGCAUACGACCUACGGGUGAAAGCAGGGGAUCUUCGGACCUUGCGCGAUUGAAGUGACCGAAGUCGGAUUAGCUAGUUGGCGGGGUAAAGGCCCACCAAGGCGACGAUCCGUAGCUGGUCUGAGAGGAUGAUCAGCCACACUGGAACUGAGACACGGUCCAGACUCCUACGGGAGGCAGCAGUGGGGAAUAUUGGACAAUGGGCGCAAGCCUGAUCCAGCCAUACCGCGUGGGUGAAGAAGGCCUUCGGGUUGUAAAGCCCUUUUGUUGGGAAAGAAAUCCAGCUGGCUAAUACCCGGUUGGGAUGACGGUACCCAAAGAAUAAGCACCGGCUAACUUCGUGCCAGCCGCCGCCGUAA
rnacentral:rRNA from 1 species